rnacentral:rRNA from 1 species
UACAGAGGGGGCAAGCGUUGUUCGGAAUUACUGGGCGUAAAGGGCGCGUAGGCGGCCUUCUAAGUCGAACGUGAAAUCCCCGGGCUCAACCCGGGAACUGCGUCCGAUACUGGAAGGCUAGAAUCCGGGAGAGGGAUGCGGAAUUCCAGGUGUAGCGGUGAAAUGCGUAGAUAUCUGGAGGAACACCGGUGGCGAAGGCGGCAUCCUGGACCGGUAUUGACGCUGAGGCGCGAAAGCGUGGGGAGCGAACAGG